UACGUAGGUGGCAAGCGUUGUCCGGAUUUACUGGGCGUAAAGAGCGCGCAGGCGGUCGUUCAAGUCGCGUGUGAAAGCCCCCGGCUCAACUGGGGAGGGUCACGCGAUACUGAUCGACUCGAAGGCAGGAGAGGGAAGUGGAAUUCCCGGUGUAGUGGUGAAAUGCGUAGAUAUCUGGAGGAACACCGGUGGCGAAGGCGGCAUCCUGGACCAAUUCUGACGCUGAGGAGCGAAAGCCAGGGGAGCAAACGGG
rnacentral:rRNA from 1 species